GCAAAAAGGUUGUAUUUUACUAUUUGCUUGAUUUGUAAUCAGGGGGUCCCGGGUUCGAACCCUGGCGGGGGCACCA
rnacentral:tRNA from 1 species